GGCUGAGAGCCUGGAGCAUGCCGACCAGAGAGGCCAGCUUCUCAUCUCUCAUCUCCUCCAGGACACCCAGAAGACCGGCUUUGAAGAACACCUGAGACACAGUUAAAUGAAGAAGAAAGAACAAAAGGAUGGAUAGAUCAACUGGAGAGAUUUUAUAUGGUUUCUUACAUAGAUCAUCCAUGCUGCAUAACGCUCUUUGAGGUUAUACAACACAGAGGCUUCAUUCAGG